GCAGUAGCCACGGGAAUACGAAGGGGGCUAGCGUUGUUCGGAAUUACUGGGCGUAAAGCGCGUGUAGGCGGGCUUUUAAGUCAGGGGUGAAAUGCCGAGGCUCAACCUCGGAACUGCCUUUGAUACUGGAAGUCUUGAGUCCGGGAGAGGUGAGUGGAACUGCGAGUGUAGAGGUGAAAUUCGUAGAUAUUCGCAAGAACACCAGUGGCGAAGGCGGCUCACUGGCCCGGAACUGACGCUGAGACGCGAAAGCGUGGGGAGCAAACAGGAUUAGAUACCCGUUAGUCCCUGUCUCUUAUACC
rnacentral:rRNA from 1 species